GACGAACGCUGGCGGCGUGCCUAAUACAUGCAAGUCGAACGCAGUUUCGAACGGGUGAGUAACGUGUAGGUAACUGCCUCAUAGCGGGGGAUAACCAUUUGAAACGAUAGCCAAUACCGCAUACUUUGACCUGGACCUGCGUUGCAUUAGCUUGUUGGUGGGGUAAAGGUCCACCAAGGCGCCGAUACAUAGCCGACCUGGGAGGGUAAUCGGCCAACCUGGGAAUGGGAAACGGGCCAGACUCCUACGGGAAGGAGCAGUAGGGGAACAUCGGAAAUGGGCGGAAGUCUGACCGAGCAACGCCGCGGGAGUGGAGAAAGGUUUCGGGUCGGAAAACUCUGUUGUUAGAGAAGCGGUAACUAACCAGAAAGGAACGGCUAACUACGUGCCAGCAGCCGCGGUAAUAC
rnacentral:rRNA from 1 species